rnacentral:tRNA from 5 species
GGGCCAUUAGCUCAGUUGGCUAGAGUGCUUGCAUGGCAUGCAAGAGGUCAAGGGUUCGAAUCCCUUAUGGUCCA